rnacentral:rRNA from 1 species
GAUGGACAACAGGUAGAGAAUCCUGUACUUGUCAGUGGAGUGAAGGAGUGACGGAGCAGGCUAAGUGGACAUGCGGAUGGAAGAGCAUGAGCAAGCGAGGUAGAGGUAUGAGGAGAAAAGCCUCAUGCAACUUGAAGGCGUGAAGCGGAUGGAACACAGCGAUGUAAGUACAGAAGAAACUGAAGCCAGCUUCCAGGAAAAGCUUCUAGCGGUGAAACUGAGAACCCGUACCGAAAAUGGACACACAU